rnacentral:rRNA from 1 species
GAGUUUGAUCGUGGCUCAGGACGAACGCUGGCGGCGUGCUUAACACAUGCAAGUCGAACGCAGCAUCCAAGCUUGCUUGGGUGGCUGAGUGGCAGACGGGUGAGUAACACGUGGGAACUUGCCUUUUAGACUGGGACAACCACUGGAAACGGUGGCUAAUACCGGAUACGCCCUGAGGGGGAAAGCAGAGAUGCGCUAAGAGAGAGGCCCGCGGCAGAUUAGGUAGUUGGUGGGGUAAAGGCCUACCAAGCCUGUGAUCUGUAGCUGGUUUGAGAGGAUGAUCAGCCACACUGGGACUGAGACACGGCCCAGACUCCUACGGGAGGCAGCAGUGGGGAAUAUUGGACAAUGGGGGAAACCCUGAUCCAGCAAUGCCGCGUGAACGAAGAAGGCCUUAGGGUUGUAAAAUUCUUUUGUUCGUGACGAUAAUGACGGUAGCGGACGAAUAAGCCCUGGCUAACUCUGUGCCAGCCGCCGCGGUAAG